GUCUUAUUGCUGUGAUGAAAUGGAAAUUUAAAUAAAAGGUCGAACACGUGCGUUCACUGGGAAGUAUUGACAUGGGUGUUACAUCACCACCAGCCAAUCAGAUAACUCCAGUCGUGUUUAUACUUCUACAACCACCUUGUCUUCCUGAUAUAUAUAAAGAAAUAUUAAGGUCUUCCUCUAAACCUUAAGGGAGAUGGAAUCAAAAUCAAAGUUCAAGAGGAUAGUAAUCACAAACGUCUCAAAACAGCUCUAAGUAAAGAUACUGAACUAAUGUUUCCAUCGAAUUUACAUUAAAAACAAUAAUCAUAUACAUACAAUGGAAUAUUAUUCUGUCCUAAAAAAGGAGGGAAAUCUUGCCAUUUGUAACAAUAUGGUUGAAACUGGAGGACAUUAUGAAAUGAAGGUGAAGCUCUUCUGAACAUUUGUGAUCAACCAACGUAAAAUUCAUCUUGAACUUUGAUAUAUUACUCUUGCAACAAGACCCAUAAAGAAUGGCUAUGCCACUAUACCUCUGUUCUCAAAAGGAGUUGACCAGACAGUGUAGGUGGAGAAGGAAAAACUCAGAAGCACUUUUGGAUAAACUGCUCAAAGUAGUUGCACUACUUACAAUGGCUCAGCAGAGUCUUCUGCAUGAACAAAGACAGUGAACGUGAGUGAGGUAUGAAACAUAAUGCAGAUAAUGCACAAGUUAUGUCCUUCAAGGCCAUGAAUGAUUGUGGCCAACCUUGGAAAAGAAGUCAGGCAUCCCAUGAGUAGAAUUAAAAAAAAAAAAAAAUGAAGUCAACUCCUGAGCCACACAGAGAAUACCUGCAUACACACUCUUCUGAGCUUCUGCAACCACGGAAAACCACGGGGGAGAUCAUGUGAACAGAGAGCCUCUCUUCCUAGCCUCUGGCAGUGAGUAAUUUUUCUACCCAAUAUAACUUUAUGAAGGUCACCUCCCAUCUUCUGCUUUUGAGUAGAGGCAGAAAGAGAAGUGUUUUGAAGGGUCAGUAUGAGAAAGAUUCAGCUCUUCAUAUUUAAUUUUACCUCUUCCUUUUCAAAACAUUAUUUUGGGACUAUAGCUGUUAAAACCAUCAUGUGUCAAGUAUAGUCAGUAUCUAGGGGACUACCGUUAGGUGCUUCCAGAAUGCCAUUGUCUGAGAACAAAAAUCAGAAAGUAUGAAAGUAUGGCAGAUGAGACCUGUCACCUAUAGAUGAGAUAAAUAAUAACUGUAUGCCUGAGAAAACUGUGACUACGUCUUAUCCAGGGUGAUUGCCUUAUUCCCUGGUCUACCUGUAAUGUGAUUAAGAGGAAGUGAAAAUCAUAACUAGGAUAACAAGCCCAGGCCAGGACAAAAGGCCAAGGAGCGAACAUCAAGAGUGAGAGGGGUGAGUUCUGAGGUCGCCUUAUUAUGCCCUGUCAAAACAAAACAAAAACAAGUGAAAAUUGCAAGCAGAAAGCAAGAAUCUAGGCAUCAGGAAAGACCAAACCCAUCCCCCCCAAACAGAGAGUUGGUAGUAUUUCUCCUGCAUUGGUCAGGAGAAAGUCAUUUACCCUACCAGACGCAGUGCGUCCAGGUCCCGGAGAAGAAGUGUGCUCUGUUAACAGCAAAGUCAGGGAUGGUUCAUUUGGCUUUUUUCUAGUCUGGAAGAAACAUCUCAUAAGACUGGCAGUUUCCCUUUCCUAUGACUCCACACUUAACAUAUGGCCCUCUGAUUUCUAAUUUUGCCUCCUGUUCAACAGGAGUGGAUAGGAAUAGUAAGGUCUCUAAACACAUCUAUAUCUUUUAUUGUUAAUUAAUACAUUUGCAUUUUGUUUUAUAUCUCAAGCUUUUAUAAUAUGACUUCUGAGGUUAAUAGCUACACCAAAUAAUUUAGUCAAUUCAAGUUCAUUUUCAAAGUCAAAUUUCUUGGGCACACUAGACAUAUCUGGACUAAAACCCAAAAUAUGUGAUUUAAGCAGAAUAAGGCAAAUAAGUUGGUCAGCUAGCUUUUCUCUAUGAUUCCUUUGUGCCAUACUGUUAUAAAACUCCAACAAUAGGAAGAAGAUUUUUGUGGUUGAUAAAACCAUUUUUUGUACUUACUUCAUAACUGAAGAUAAAGAAUGGGCAAAUGCUAUUGGUGACAGAGGCAAUGAAGCUAUUUCAACUCCAAGCAUCUGGCUUUUGAAAUCAUUUGCAUGAGAGUUAAAAGAUUUUCAAGUUGUGUGCAUACCCAAUAUCAUUUAACAUAGCUAAAGACUAUUAUCCAGUAUUGAGGAAUACGGUCAUUCCUUAAAUUAUGUGUCCUAUUUCAUGUUAGGCAUUGUGUGCAAUGUCUGGAAAUCCGAACUGAGCAAGGCAUACAAAUAAAUAACUAAAAUUAUCAGCGAUGAAUUGUGAGAUAAUGUUCAAGGUGUAGUGAUGGCAAGGGACAGAGAAAUUCCUGCUCCUGGGGUGAAGAAAGCUCCCUUUGAGCUAGGUUUUGAAAGAAAUGCAAUGUAUUGCUCUCUUGGCCCAGGAGGAGAAAGGGAAUCCAGGUAGGAGAAAAGGCUGGAAAGCAAAGUUUGGAAAGUAUGAAACAGGUUGGUUUGUACAGCACAUUGUUAAGCAAGGAAAAGAGACAGGAGGUUGCCUGCUAAUGACUUAAUCAACUGGGUGUGGGAGGGGUCGUUGGUGACAUUGAAAACAGGGAAACAGCAUGACCUUAAGAAAAGUAUAAUUGUGAUGACAAUGAGGCAAAGGGGAGCAGGAGAGAGUCCAGGUCUUGAAUUAAGGCAGUUGUAAUAUGACUGAAAAAGAAAAGGCAGGUUUGAGAAUGGUUUGGCAGCUAGAAUCCGUAGGGCUUUGUGACAGAUUGUGUUUGGGGGCGAGAGAAGGAGGAACUAGCAUAAUGCCCAAAUUACUGGCUUUGGAACAUAGGGAUCUUUUAUUAUAUCUUUCUCUAAACCAUUAUACAUUAUUCAUUGUGACAUUGAAGAUGUGCCUGCGUAGUGAAACAUCAUUCGUUUCAACUAAGGGAAUCCCUAGAUUAGAAAUCAACCCCACCUACUCCCACCCAUGCUUUUCCUGUCCAUUUUAUGCUUUUCUCAGGAAGCUAUGAGAUCUGGCUCCAGACAAAAAACAAAAAACAAAAACAAAAACAAAAAACAAACAAACAAAAAUAUGUAUAAUUAAAACAGACCUAUUGUCCUAAAGAAAGAAAUAUGAAAGCCAGAAGAUACAGUUAAACCCAUUUGGAAUGCUUAGAACUAUGUGUCCAUGGCUUUAUCACAGACUGUAGCUGUACUCUUCGUGUUCAGCUCUGCCUGGUUUUCAUUAAGCAAAGAAACUGGCUUUCAAUAGCAAAAAUGUAAAAACUCAUUAGGUUUCAGGAUAACCAGAGACUUGUGCUUGAAAAUUUAGAUGUAUAUUAACAAAAUUACGUCUUGACUUUUUCUACCAGAUAAAAAAAUGAAGCAAAUAUGUAUUAUUCUAAAUAUGUAUCACAUUUUCAUAUUAAGGAUAUUUGAGAGUUAAAAAAUUUACAUGAAUAUUGUUCCUCAAAUUUUGCUCAAAGUGUCCUAGUGCUUCAUGUCUCACCUCUUGUGUGGCCAUUAGGGAGGGAUUCUAGCGUAGUUGUGCUCAGUAAGCUAAGCUCUGGAGUUAGAUUGCCCAAGUUCAAAUGCUGGCUCUGUCAUUUAGGUCUUUGGGCAGUCCAUCAGCUGCCCCUUUUAUCUUGUCACACACACAUGAAACUGAUAAUAUCAACAUGAUUUUGAGUAGAGCCCAAUUCUAACAUAGAAAUACUAGGUAGGAUUUGACUUCAAGAAACGUAUGAUCUAAUUCAGUAUUUCUCAAGCUUCAUUGGGUGCUAGAAUCAACCGGGGGAGUUUAUUAGGACACAGAUUGCUGGGCCCACCCCUAGAUUUUCUAAUAUAGUAGAUCUGGGGUGGGGAUCAAAAAUUUGCAUUUCUAGCAAAUUCCAGGUGGUGGUCUGGGGCCCAUACUUUGAGAAAUACUGAUCUAAUUGAGAAGGGAAUUCAUUGAGAAAGAAACAGAUGAGAUAUAAUAGUACUUAGAAAACAUGAACACACUGUCAUAAUUUUGUUUAGAAAGCUCAACUAUGUACACAGGGAAAUCCAGGGGCUGAUGAACCAUUCAUUUAAGUGAGAAUCACUAACUUUGUUUUAUUACUAGGAUGACCUUGAGUUUCUAUCAUUGUAGGAAUGUAGCCUCAUAUUUGUAGUGUGUGCAUUAGCCCCACUCAGAGAAACCAUACUUCAACUUGCCAACUUGCCUUUUCCAGUAUUUCGGGGUUUUAUGCUUGAACCUGAACCAUACCAAACCAUGAACCAUUAACUGGAAUAUAGCAGGCUAAUUUGUUGAACUCCAGAAUUCCCAAAUACCCUUUCCUUCAAGUGUGAACCAAAUGAAAGAGAUUGUUAAAAAAAAAAAAAAAAAAAGUGAACUAGUUCAGAUUAGAAACAAAUCUUUUAAUUUUUUAAAACAACUGAAAUGCAAGAUCAUAUUUCCUAACAUACCAGUUCAUUAAAAACAAAAUGAAAUAAAACAAAGCUCUGUUUAACAUACUCUCAUACUAAGUAAUGUAGUUGACUAAAAUGCUGAAAUAGUAAAGCCCCGUAAGAGUCUGGGUCCCAGCAAGAAAGAGCAUUCCACUUAAAGGGUUCAAAUCAAGACAUGUUAAUGAAACAACUCCUUAGCGUGAUGUGGGAAGGGAGUUAAGGAAACAAAAGAGGGAUGUUGGGGUACCAGAAGACUGGCAACCGUAGAAAGUUGUUACCAAGGGGGCUAAGAGGCUGAAGAAUAAAAUGGUGUUUACUGAACCUAGGGAGAAGAGGAACCAUGGAAAAGAGGCUGUCAGGCAGGAAAUUUAGUCUUGGGGAACAGCCCCCCAUCCCCCACCCCUGCCAUACACCACAACAUACAUAAAUUAGAAUAGGGUUGCUAAAUCAAGAAGGAAGCGGAGAAGAAAUACCCCAGCAUCUCUCUCCUCCCAGCUUCUGGGGACUUCCUGGUGCCACCCCCUGUCUGAACUGAAAGUCUGGUGGCUGGAGCCCCAGUGUCUGAUCUACGGGAGUCAGCUUCCUGGUAGGGCAGGGCAAGGCAGGUGUUGGAGGACAAUGGAGACUGACCAGCACAAUCCCCCUUUUUUGCUAAGUAAAUGCUAGAUGUUAGAUGAAAUAUUAGUAACCGAGUUAAUGUGUGUAAAGUUCUUAGAAAAGCCCUGGCAAUGAAGAAACAUCAUACUCUGAAAGUUAGCUAUUAUUGCUGCUAUAGGCUGGCAGUGUUUUGUGGAUAAGGAAAUUAAGGCUCACAGACUUCAAGCAACUUUUCCUUGGUUAGCACUAGGUACAGAGCCCACACUCAAAUCCAGGUUUUCAGAUUCCAGUUUUGUACAGAUUCUGCUAUGAGAAUUGACUAUUGCAACAUAUAAGUUAUAAGAUAAUGUGUUGCAUGCGUAAUUAAUUUUAUCAUUUCUUACAGAAAAAAGCAUCUUUACUCUCUUGACCUGACUGAUGAAAUCUGAAACCAAACUAACACCUUAUGAACAUACAUAAAAAUAAAAUAAAAUGAGCUAUUAUUUCAAAGAUAAUUCUUCACAUGCAAUAAUAACAAUUGUAGUAAUAGUAAUAGUUUGUUAAACUUGUUGAAUGUUUAUUUUGUCUAGUACUAUGCUAUUUUCUAUAUCUCGUACUAACAUAACCACUAAUCUCUGUCACUUAUUUUUUUUAAAUAUAGUUGACACACAAUAUUACAUUAGUUUCAGGCGUACAACAUAGUGAUUCAACAUGCUUUGCUCUCCGUAAGUGUAGCUACCAUCUGUCACCAUACAACACUAUUACAAUACCAUUGACUAUAUGCCCUAGGCUGUGCCUUUUAUCCUGGUGACUUCCUCAUUCCAUAACUGGAAGCUUGUAUCUCUCAUUCCCUUUUACCCAUUUUGCCCAUUCCCCCACCCCACCCUCAGUGUCAUCCAUUUUUGAUUUCCUGUCCUGUUUUUCUUUUUUUUUUAACUUGGAAAUAAUACAUUUGGAGGAUUUUGUAAUUAAUGAGUUAAUUACACUCACUCUGCUGACCCUUGUCUGACCAUUUAAGGUUUUAUACAAUUUAAAAUGUGAUAUAUAUAGUAUCUCCUAAAAAAAAAAAAAAACCCUCCCAGAAAACAGUAUUCUACCCCCCUGUAACUGUUGG